rnacentral:rRNA from 1 species
UACAGAGGGUGCGAGCGUUGUCCGGAAUCACUGGGCGUAAAGGGCGCGUAGGUGGCGGCAUAAGGCCGCGGUGAAAGUUCGGGGCUCAACCCUGAAUCGGCCGCGGCGACUGUGUUGCUAGGGCACCGUAGAGGCAGAUGGAAUUCCGGGUGUAGCGGUGGAAUGCGUAGAGAUCCGGAGGAACACCAACGGCGAAAGCACUCUGCUGGGCCGACACUGACACUGGAGAGACGAAAGCUAGGGGAGCGAAUGGG